rnacentral:rRNA from 1 species
UGGGGAUAACAUUGCGAAAGCGAUGCUAAUACCGGAUAAUAUCUCGGGGUCUUCGGUCUUCGGGAUCAAAGGUGGCCUCUACAUGUAAGCUACUGUUUGGAGAUGAGCUCGCGUACCAUUAGCUUGUUGGUAGGGUAAUGGCCUACCAAGGCUACGAUGGUUAGCUGGUCUGAGAGGAUGAUCAGCCACACUGGAACUGACACACGGUCCAGACUCCUACGGGAGGCAGCAGUGAGGAAUUUUGCGCAAUGGGGGAAACCCUGACGCAGCAACGCCGCGUGAGUGAUGAAGGCUUUCGGGUCGUAAAGCUCUGUCAAGUGGGAAGAACUUGCCCGAUGCAAACACCAUCGGGCACUGACGGUACCACUGAAGGAAGCACCGGCUAACUCCGUGCCAGCAGCCGCGGUAAUACGGGGGGUGCAAGCGUUAUUCGGAAUCAUUGGGCGUAAAGGGCGCGUAGGCGGCUUCUUAAGUCAGAUGUGAAAGCCCGGGGCUUAACCCCGGAAGUGCAUUUGAAACUGGGAGGCUUGAGUAUGGGAGAGGGAAGUGGAAUUCCUGGUGUAGAGGUGAAAUUCGUAGAUAUCAGGAGGAACACCGGUGGCGAAGGCGACUUCCUGGACCAAUACUGACGCUGAGGCGCGAAGGCGUGGGUAGCAAACAGGAUUAGAUACCCUGGUAGUCCACGCAGUAAACGUUGUUCACUAGGUGUAGCGGGUAUUGACCCCUGCUGUGCCGCAGUUAACGCAUUAGUGAACCGCCUGGGAAGUACGGCCGCAAGGUUAAAACUCAAAGGAAUUGACGGGGGCCCGCACAAGCGGUGGAGCAUAUGGUUUAAUUCGACGCAACGCGAAGAACCUUACCUGGGUUUGACAUCCCGAGAAGUCUCUUGAAAGAGAGAUGUGCCCUUCGGGGAGCUCGGUGACAGGUGCUCAUGGCUGUCGUCAGCUCGUCGUGAGAUGUUGGGUUAAGUCCCGCAACGAGCGCAACCCUUAUCUUUAGUUACCAGCAUUCAGUUGGGGACUCUAAAGAUACUGCCCCGGUUAACGGGGAGGAAGGUGGGGAUGACGUCAAGUCCUCAUGGCCCUUAUACCCAGGGCUACACACGUGCUACAAUGGGCUGUACAAAGGGUCGCGAGCCCGCGAGGGUUAGCUAAUCCCAUAAAGCAGCUCUAAGUUCGGAUUGGAGUCUGCAACUCGACUCCAUGAAGCUGGAAUCGCUAGUAAUCGUGGAUCAGCACGCCACGGUGAAUACGUUCCCGGGCCUUGUACACACCGCCCGUCACACCAUGAGAGUUGGUUGUACCAGAAGUUGUUGGACCAACCCGCAAGGGAGGUAAGCACCUAAGGUAUGGCUGAUGAUUGGGGUGAAGUCGUAACAAGGUA